UCAGGGAUUGGGUGGAGGGGAGUGGGGGCGGAGGGUGGCAUUUGGGGGGGGUCUCACCCUCCCUUCUUCCUGGGCCCCCAG
rnacentral:miRNA from 1 species